AGACCCCUUGCCAAACAAACGAGGUAGGUUGCGACUAUUACGUGCUGAAAUUCAUGAAGGAGAUCAUUCAACAGUGGCCAACUAAUGAAAUCAAGUUUGUUUGCAAAUCAUAUACAUAUGACCAAGUCAACCAGAUUAGAGAAUAAUGGUCAAAGUUUGUACUUAGUUUAGUUCGCAAAUGAUAGGUAUAGUAGAUUAUUUUUGCACAGAUUGUAGCUUAGGGAAUUCAAUUAAUGUUCAAUUUAAUGUAUAUGAUUUGGCCUAUGUAAUAUAUGUUUCAGUAAACAGUGUAAUUAAUGUUCA
rnacentral:lncRNA from 1 species